AGCGUUUGACAUCCUCAUCGCGGAUUUCAGAGAUGAUUUCCUUCAGUUCGGCUGGAUGAGUGAC
rnacentral:rRNA from 1 species